UACAGAGGGUGCAAGCGUUGUCCGGAUUUAUUGGGCGUAAAGAGUUCGUAGGCUUUUUCUUAAGUCAUCUUUCAAAGACUUCGGCUCAACCGAGGGAAGGGGGAUGAUACUGUGAAAAUUGAAAGGUUUCGGGGCUACUGGAACUUACGGUGUAGGAGUGAAAUCCGUUGAUAUCGUAAGGAACACCGAGGGCGAAGGCGGGUAGCUAGGAACAUUUUGACGCUGAGGAACGACAGCUAGGGGAGCGAAA
rnacentral:rRNA from 1 species